rnacentral:rRNA from 1 species
GACGAACGCUGGCGGCGUGCUUAACACAUGCCAGUCGAACGGAAAGGCCUGCUUUCCCUUGUGGAUUGCGGGUACUCGAGUGGCGAACGGGUGAGUAACACGUGAGUGAUCUGCCCCCAACUUGGGUAUAAGCCUGGGAAACUGGGUCUAAUUCCCGAUAGGACUGCAGGGUGGUGCCUGUGGUGGAAAACGAUUUUCUAGUGGUUGGGGAUGAGCUCGCGGCCUAUCAGCUUGUUGGUGGGGUAAUGGCCUACCAAGGCGGCGACGGGUAGCCGGCCUGAGAGGGUGGACGGCCACAUUGGGACUGAGAUACGGCCCAGACUCCUACGGGAGGCAGCAGUGGGGAAUAUCGCACAAUGGGCGGAAGCCUGAUGCAGCGACGCCGCGUGGGGGAUGACGGCCUUCGGGUUGUAAACUCCUUUCGACCGCGAGGAAGCCACCUGGUUGGAAGGGUGGUGACGGUAGUGGUAGAAGAAGCACCGGCUAACUACGUG